GUGAAUCAUCGAAUCUUUGAACGCACCUUGCGCUCCCUGGCAUUCCGAGGAGCAUGCCUGUUUGAGUGUCGUUGAACCCUCAGCAUCCUACCUGAUCUGUUGUGGUGACAAAUUGCAUUGCACUGAUUUGGGGGGGGGAGGCAGCUGCUGCUUCCCUUCACUUGGCUUCUGGAUCGUGGAGGAUGCAAUGCUGGCCCCAAUUGGGGGCCUCCUUUGCUUCUCUGAAAUGGAGUGCCGUCAUGACUGCAUUGCUUGUAACGUUGGGGUCGCGGUCACGAUGAACCUGGCACCGGGAUGAUACACUCUUCUUACCCGCGUCUGGUCCAUGCGAGCCGCGUCCAAUAUUUGACCUCAAAUCAGGCAGGACUACCCGCUGAACUUAAGCAUAUCAAUAAGCGGAGGA
rnacentral:rRNA from 1 species